rnacentral:misc_RNA from 1 species
UUAUUAUUAUUAUUAUUAUUAUUCACCAUGAAGAAAAUGCCAAAACCAAUCAAAAGGCCUGAUCUUUAUCUUAUUCUACUUUCAAGCAAGUAUCAAAGGAACACCUAGACAAGCUACCAUGAUGACAACAUUUCUUUCAACAAUCAAAUAAGUCUAGGUAGGAGAUUUAGGCUCCACUGGCAUUGCAGUUUCACCUGCACCUUCAAUCCUUUUCCAUUUUAAGGGGAAGAGGUUUCACCCACUGUUUGGAGGACCAUUGAAUUAUUGACAUUUUGGUCAAGCCCAUAUUCUGCAGUUCAAAGAAGCCUGCACUGCAUUUCUAAACACCCUUCAGGCUACCGGAUAGGCUGCAUUUUAAAGGAGUUUAACAGAAAGUAAAAAUCUUCAGAUAAUAAGAUACUAAUGGCAGUUUUGGACAAAAAGGGGGGCAAUAAAGAAAACAUAGUGAGUUUGUAUCUGCUUGGUCAUAAAUUUUUCUAAAAGAAAGUAGGUUUCCAAGAACCCUUAAAAUCUGUAAGUUGAAAAACGAAAGGAACAUAAGAAGAUUCAAAACUAGAGUUUAAAGGAUAGAAAACAAUGAUCAUCAAUUAAUAUUUAACAAGAAAUAAACAAAAUCAAAAUUUGAAAUUGAUAUUACUCGGUUAAAGCUACGAGAAAAAGAAAAAUAAAACAGCAUUUCCAUAAAAGAAACUUUAAAGAAAUCCAAUGGCAUUUCAGUAAAAAGAUUAACAGCAAAAUUAAAGCAAAAAAAAUAGCAAUAAGAUUUAGAUUUAAUGUUUAAGAAAAAAAAGAUUACAAAGAUAAAAUGAGGGGGAAAGAAAGAAAAGAAAAACAAAUCUAGAGAGGUAAAAAAUGUUAAUAUACAUAUAAGAACAUCUAUGAUUGAUAAGACAAGUUAUACAAAAGCAAGAACCAAGAUGGCAAAUAGGAAUGAAAUAUGAUCAUUGAAAUUACUCCCAUCACUUAAAUCAACAUCACUAGCUAAAUCAGAGUGCGUGCUACAAAAACAACACUUUCAGUCAUCAAACUGGGUAAAAAAUGUAGAAUAGCUAAGAGAAUCUUUGAAGCAAAUAACACUUGAAGAGUUAAAAAUGCUGUUCCCUGAACUGUAACAAUUGGAAGAGUUUUAAAAAUUUGCAAUUGCUAAUCUGGUUUGACACAUCUGUGUGUACAAAUGCUCAAUAGUUUCCAUUAUAUCCACAAUUCAACGGAAACCAUUGACUUCUCCUCAAACCAAUUCUACCAACCAACUUAGGAACAUAAGGAACUCCCAUACAAAGUUGUCAAAAGCACUAGGUGGCCUAAAGGCGAGAAGGUCCUCCACCACCCAACGCCCUAGGCACUCGCCCGUGCGAAGUGAAGUGCCAAUUUAUUCUAAAAUAAUAAAUAA